UUUCUUAUCUAUGUGAAAAUUGGAUGCCACUUCACUGUAGUUAAACUUACUUUUUCAUAGAAAAAACUGAGUCUGAAACUUCAGAAAGCUUUCUGCAAUCAAAUGAUGAACACAUGGCCAGCAGCUCAAAAGUUUGCCACUGAAUGAGUGAGAUCAAUUUAGGACAUCAUUGGAAAGCAGGUGUUAGUCAGGACCCAGGGAAAGGACCCAAGCAAAGCAGUUACUGAUCAUCUAACAACUGUGGGAUGUAAAAAAGAUGGAGGAAUAAAUUAUAGAAGUUUUCUAGGUCUAUCUAAAAACAAAGUGACAGUGUAAGUCGGAGCUAGGGAAUUACCUUCUCAUCAGCAAUGAUGCAGGUCUUUUAAAAAGUAACUGGUAACCAAAGCCCAAAGGUAUCAGCUUUUGCAGUAUACCAGGACACAAAUCUGGCCCAAACACACUGCAUCCUGUGAUUCUUAUAUAUAGCAAAUGGCAGCUGAGUGUUCUCUUCUACUUCAAAUGAGCUACAGUAAGCACCAGAACUCCCUGAGGAUGUGCCAGUGACAGAUUUGCACCAAAGGGGACAACCCCAAGGACAGACACACCUUUGUUCCAUCAGCCCAGUGUAUCUGGAAUGGACUGGAACCAGUGGUAUUGUUUCCAUCCAGAUGCCCAUGGAUGUUUCUCCAUUCAAUCCAUUAAGAAAGAAGGAACGGCACGCUUAGCAGAGCCAUUGUCUUCCUCAUUUUCAUGGGGACGCUUUCUCGUUGUGGUUGGCUGGAAGAAAAACACAGGAGGAUGGCUCCAGGAAACCAGUGUCACCUGAUUUGAUUGUGGCUACAUUUGAAUUGAUGGAUAAGGAAACGUCAUCUGAUCAUCCACCGUAAGAUCAGAAAAUACAAACACUGGGAAGGCAAGUGGAG